CCGGUUCGUUUAGAGAUAUGUAUAUAGUCAGAGUAGACCUUCAAAGUAGAUAUGAUAUGAUAGAUGUGUAACAGAAAACGGAUAGUUCUAGCUGGGCGAUUACGAACGAAAUAACUGCCUUGAAUCAUUUUUUCUUGGAAACCUGUUCCGUUGUAUAUUGUGUACAAGUCGUUGUUUUCUCAUUGACAAUUGUAGUAUCAUCGUCUUCAGGAUUACUUGAAGUUGUGUUGUCAUUCGCUGAAAAAGAUGCCGGUGAGUGUUUUCAUUGGAGAGAGUGUUCUAAUUCUUUUAGGAGUAAUGGAUUUUUGCGGCGUGCACGAGUGCUUUUUAGAUGAACCUGCUGAUGAACUAUGAUGCAUUUUGGCUGGUGGAGGCUUCGGGCAUAUCUUAUAUUGAGGACUAUUUUGUGAUGUUUUGGUUUAUUGAGCCAUAGCCUUGACUUUUUUUACCAUGAUAGUGACUAAAAAGGAAAAGAAAUCGUUUACCAGCUUGAAAAACUAAAAUAUUUUAAGCCAUUUUUUUUUACUAUGAAUGAAAUCAAAAGCACAUGUCUUA
rnacentral:lncRNA from 1 species